GACGAACGCUGGCGGCGUGCUUAACACAUGCAAGUCGAACGGAAAGGCCCUGCUUUUGUGGGGUGCUCGAGUGGCGAACGGGUGAGUAACACGUGAGUAACCUGCCCUUGACUUUGGGAUAACUUCAGGAAACUGGGGCUAAUACCGGAUAGGAGCUCCUGCUGCAUGGUGGGGGUUGGAAAGUUUCGGCGGUUGGGGAUGGACUCGCGGCUUAUCAGCUUGUUGGUGGGGUAGUGGAUUACCAAGGCUUUGACGGGUAGCCGGCCUGAGAGGGGGACCGGCCACAUUGGGACUGAGAUACGGCCCAGACUCCUACGGGAGGCAGCAGUGGGGAAUAUUGCACAAUGGGCGGAAGCCUGAUGCAGCAACGCCGCGUGCGGGAUGACGGCCUUCGGGUUGUAAACCGCUUUCGCCUGUGACGAAGCGUGAGUGACGGUAAUGGGUAAAGAAGCACCGGCUAACUACGUG
rnacentral:rRNA from 1 species